rnacentral:rRNA from 1 species
ACGAACGCUGGCGGCAUGCCUAACACAUGCCAGUCGAACGAGACCUUCGGGUCUAGUGGCGCACGGGUGCGUAACGCGUGGGAACCUGCCCUUAGGUUCGGAAUAACUCCCCGAAAGGGGUGCUAAUACCGGAUAAUGUCUUCGGACCAAAGAUUUAUCGCCUUUGGAUGGGCCCGCGUUGGAUUAGCUAGUUGGUAGGGUAAAAGCCUACCAAGGCGACGAUCCAUAGCUGGUCUGAGAGGAUGAUCAGCCACACUGGGACUGAGACACGGCCCAGACUCCUACGGGAGGCAGCAGUGGGGAAUAUUGGACAAUGGGCGAAAGCCUGAUCCAGCAAUGCCGCGUGAGUGAUGAAGGCCUUAGGGUUGUAAAGCUCCUUUACCCGGGAUGAUAAUGACAGUACCGGGAGAAUAAGCUCCGGCUAACUCCGUG